UUCCGGUUGAUCCUGCCGGACCGCGAUGCUGGCGGGCUCAGCUUAAGACAUGCAAGCCGAACGCCGCGCGAUCCCGCGGCGUGGCGGACGGCUCAGUAACACGUCGCCAACCGAACCUCGGGAGGAGGAUAACCCCGGGAAACUGGGCUCAAUCCUCCAUAGGUGCGGAAUGGUGGAACCCCUCCGCACCGAAAGGGGACAAAGGGGCGCCUUUGUCCCGCCCGAGGACGGGGCGGCGGCCCAUUAGGUUGUAGGCGGGGUAACGGCCCGCCUAGCCGAUGAUGGGUACGGGCCGUGUAAGCGGGGGCCCGGAGAAGGCCACUGAGACAAGGGGCCUAGGCCUACGGGCUGCAGCAGUCGGGAGCCCUCCGCAAUGCGGGAAACCGCGACGGGGUGAGCCCGCGUGCCUCCCGAGAGGGAGGCUUUUCCCGACUGUAAACAGGUCGGGGAAUAAGGGGAGGGUAAGGCUGGUGCCAGCCGCCGCGGUAAAACCAGCUCCCCGAGUGUCGCGGUUAUUGCUGGGCCUAAAGGGUCCGUAGCCGGGUCUGCAUGACCGUGGUGAAAGCCCGGCUCUUAAGGUCGGGACGGCCACGGUUACCGCAGACCUAGGGACCGGGAGAGGCCGGAGGUACUUCCGGGCUAGGGGUGAAAUCCUAACCCCGGAAGGACCAACGGUGGCGAAAGCGUCCGGCCAGAACGGCUCCGACGGUGAGGGACGAAAGCCGGGGGAGCGAACCGGAUUAGAUACCCGGGUAGUCCCGGCUGUAAACGAUGCCCGCUAGGUGUGGCAACGCCUAAGUGGCGUUGCCGCGCCAGAAGGGAAGCCGUUAAGCGGGCCGCCGUGGGAGUACGGCCGCAAGGCUGAAACUGAAAGGUUUAGGCGGGGGUCGACCACAAUGCGUGGAGCCUGUUGCUUAAUUGGAUUCAACGCCGGGA
rnacentral:rRNA from 1 species